rnacentral:rRNA from 1 species
UAGUCCACGCCGUAAACGAUGAACACUAGUUAUUGGUAUGCUUGUCAUAUCAGUAAUGCAGCUAACGCAUUAAGUGUUCCGCCUGGGGAGUACGGUCGCAAGAUUAAAACUCAAAGGAAUAGACGGGGACCCGCACAAGCGGUGGAGCAUGUGGUUUAAUUCGAAGAUACGCGAAGAACCUUACCUGGGCUUGACAUCCUAAGAAUCUUUCAGAAAUGAGAGAGUGCCUUUCGGGGAAUUUAGUGACAGGUGCUGCACGGCUGUCGUCAGCUCGUGUCGUGAGAUGUUGGGUUAAGUCCCGCAACGAGCGCAACCCCUGAUAAUAGUUGCUAGCAGUUAGGCUGAGCACUCUAUUAUGACUGCCUGGGCAACCAGGAGGAAGGUGGGGGACGACGUCAAGUCAUCAUGGGCCCUUAUGUCCAGGGGCUACACACGUGCUACAAUGGAUGAGACAAAGAGAUGCGAUAUCGCGAGGUGGAGCAAA